CGCGCAGGCGGCGUCGUAAGUCGGUCUUAAAAGUGCGGGGCUUAACCCCGUGAGGGGACCGAAACUGCGAUGCUAGAGUAUCGGAGAGGAAAGCGGAAUUCCUAGUGUAGCGGUGAAAUACGUAGAUAUUAGGAGGAACACCAGUGGCGAAAGCGGCUUUCUGGACGACAACUGACGCUGAGGCGCGAAAGCCAGGGGAGCAAACGG
rnacentral:rRNA from 1 species